AUACAUGCAAGGAAUGGGAAUAGUAAAAGAAGGAAUGGCUUUCAGAGAACCGGAGGAAAGGUGAGACCCGGCAGCUUGGAUUCUUUGAACUCACCCUGGAGCAGCAGCCUGAAAAACAAGUAAGGUUAGCCGGAAUUCCUCCGUUAAAGGGAUAGAUGGUAAUAAUGCGCCAUUGAAGAAGUGGAUUUUCCGACGUGACACGCCGGGAAUCAAAAAGAGUGGUACCGCGAAUAAACUUCGUCUCUUAU
rnacentral:ncRNA from 1 species